GCGCCGGGCGGCGGACAGCCGAGGACGACGGGGCGGCGCCGUGUCCUCCGCCAUGACAGAUCAGACCUACUGUGACCGGCUGGUACAGGACACUCCUUUCCUGACGGGACAGGGUCGCCUGAGCGAGCAACAAGUGGACAGGAUCAUCCUCCAGCUGAACCGUUACUACCCACAGAUCCUUACCAACAAGGAGGCUGAAAAGUUCCGGAACCCCAAGGCAUCCCUGCGCGUACGGCUCUGUGACCUCCUGAGCCAUCUACAGCAGCGUGGGGAACGGCACUGUCAGGAAUUUUACCGAGCUCUGUACAUCCAUGCCCAGCCCCUGCACAGCCACCUGCCCAGCCGCUACUCUCCUCGGCUCUGUCUGUGUCCCAAGGGCUUUCUAUUAGGGGACAAGCCCCCUGUAGUGCUCACCCACUGGUCCAGGCCACUCAUACUCCUUUCUCCCCAGGACCCAUGAGCUUCCUGGCAGGCCUGGGCCUGGCAGCGGGCCUGGCCCUCCUCCUCUACUGCUGCCCUCCAGACCCCAAAGUGCUGCCCGGAACCCGGCGCGUCCUUGCCUUCUCACCUGUCAUCAUUGACCGGCAUGUCAGCCGCUACCUGCUGGCUUUCCUGGCAGAUGACCUCGGAGGACUCUGAUGAACCCAGAUCCCGGGCCUUACCUGCUGCUUAACCAAAGAGUCCCCUGGCUGCCCAUCGUGGGGCCUGUAUUUCUUUUUCUAAAUACUUAUUUUUCAUUAUUUAUAAUUUCUACGAGAACACAUCACCUUCACUCUGUAAGGUGCUUAAUAUUAAAUGUUCCAGCUGCA